AGUGAACGCUGGCGGUAGGCCUAACACAUGCAAGUCGAACGGCAGCACAGUAAGAGCUUGCUCUUACGGGUGGCGAGUGGCGGACGGGUGAGGAAUACAUCGGAAUCUACUUUUUCGUGGGGGAUAACGUAGGGAAACUUACGCUAAUACCGCAUACGACCUACGGGUGAAAGCAGGGGAUCUUCGGACCUUGCGCGAUUGAAUGAGCCGAUGUCGGAUUAGCUAGUUGGCGGGGUAAAGGCCCACCAAGGCGACGAUCCGUAGCUGGUCUGAGAGGAUGAUCAGCCACACUGGAACUGAGACACGAUCCAGAUUCCUACGGGAGGCAGCAGUGGGGAAUAUUGGACAAUGGGCGCAAGCCUGAUCCAGCCAUACCGCGUGGGUGAAGAAGGCCUUCGGGUUGUAAAGCCCUUUUGUUGGGAAAGAAAAGCAGCAGGUUAAUACCCCGCUGUUCUGACGGUACCCAAAGAAUAAGCACCGGCUAACUUCGUG
rnacentral:rRNA from 1 species